UCAUGCAUAUAGAAAAGAAUGUGUUUGAGAACAUUUUUAAAAUGAUUAUGGAUAUGAAAGGGAAGACAAAGGAUAAUUUCAAAGAAAAUAAGGGAUAUAUAU